CAGCAGUUAGUCACGGCUCCUCCCUGCUCAGAGCUAGCGUGCUUUUCUUUUAAGGCCUUGGUCUGCAUGGAGAGAGAAACAGGAGAUGUAAUCGGUUGAGCAGGAAGAUUUGCUGUAUUAUUGUGUUGAAGAAUAUCCUGGCUGUUUUUUUUUUUACAUAGUUGCAGAAUCUGCUGUUACAGCUGAGCGGUUCAUUGUAUGGACUGGACUAGACUCCACCAGAGAUGUUGAUGCAGAAUGUUCCCAAUGUGAAUGCCAUCCGGUUCCCUGGAGGGUGACGCUGUUCUUCUGGAGUUUCCGUAGACAAGUGUCUCUGAUGUGCGCACGGCCAUCAGACGAAAAUGUAACAAUGAGCAGUUCAGCCAAAAAAA